GAGAAAUACAUAGAGAGAAAGAGAGAAAGGACAAGCCAAGUAGCAAAAAGAGGCAUUUUCUGUUGUUAAGUUGUCUUGCAAUUGCUUGGUUUUUCCCUUUCUUUUCUUUCA
rnacentral:ribozyme from 1 species